rnacentral:misc_RNA from 1 species
AAAUACGAUCCCCAAGAAUUCCAAAAGAAAGAUUAGAUCCUUCAAUCAUCCAAUUAUGCCUUCACCUCGACUUGCUUUGGUCCUAGUUCAGGGAGCAGGAAACCAAGACCAUCCUUAGGUUUAGCUUCCAAAGAAGCUUCCUUUCCAUUUUGAUACAAUGGAUUCGCUGUCAAAAUUCUCAACCCUUUAUACCUAUCAAUCUCUAAAACCUCCGGCAAUCCAUUAGUACAUCCCUUUGACAUUCCUACAUCAAUCCUUAUAGCUUGGUUACCACAAACUCCAUUUAUCCCACUUUCUUGGAUCGUAUGUCCCAUUAUCAUCCUCUUCGCUCCGGGAAUGGUAGCAAGCACAUGUUCAAGAGUAGAACAAUCACAAUCCUUCGCUAACUCAUUCGAAAACCUCCUCAACCAAACAAUAGAAUCCUUUCCCCUCACUAAAUCCCUUGAAACUCUUCCCUUCAAUCCACAAAUCCAAUCCCUCACUUCCUCAUUCACAUUCUCGAAUCCAUAAUCCACAUGUUUAGGCAAAAGCCCACCAUGUACAAACACGGAAUCGCCAACCACAACAACUGUUUGAUUUUUCGAUAGAAACCUCUCUGAAAUAGGUCCCUUUGGCCUUAAUGCUGCAAUACGGAUUCUAAUCCCUUCAAAAUACUCCGGUCUAACACCGCGAAAUUCUAA